rnacentral:misc_RNA from 1 species
GAAGCCAAAGCUUGCAGUAUAAGAUUGAAAUUUGGGAAUUGUGAAUUUGGAUAAACCCUAGAUUGGAAUCGAUAGAUUCUCUAUCCAUUUACGUAAAAUUCAAGCUCAAUUUCUACAGUAACGCCCAAAUUCACUGCAUUUUCUCUCUCAUCCCCUAUAAACUCGAUGCAAUUUCGCAGGUUCUACACCUCUCUAGCGAAUUCUAACCGCAACCCAUUUCUCCUAUAUCGAAAUCUCACAAACCCUUUUGCUGUUUUCGACCCUAACCCACAGUUUCUCUCUACACAAAGAAUCUUGAAAAACUGGGUUCAAAGGCCAAUUCGUGUGUCGAAACGUUUUGUCUCAUCAUUUCCUGCUAUGGCAGAAGGAAGAAGACCCACUCAUGUGCCUAUACCACCCCCAGAAACUGCUGAUAAGGCGGAAUUGUAUCGAGCACUUGAGGCUGCGGUGGGGUCGCAGUUUAGUUCAGAGCCAUUGGCACCGGAGCCUCAUCCUUUGAUUAUUGUGGUUAGUGGUCCAAGUGGGGUUGGUAAAGAUGCUGUGAUUAAAAGGCUUAGAGAAGUUAGGGAGAAUAUUCAUUUUGUUGUUACUGCAACGACAAGGGGGAAAAGGC